UACGAAGGGUGCAAGCGUUACUCGGAAUUACUGGGCGUAAAGCGUGCGUAGGUGGUUCGUUAAGUCUGAUGUGAAAGCCCUGGGCUUAACCUGGGAACUGCAUUCGAGACUGCAUUGCUAGAGUAUGGGAGAGGGAAGUGGAAUUUCCGGUGUAGCGGUGAAAUGCGUAGAUAUCGGAAGGAACAUCAGUGGCGAAAGCGACUUCCUGGACCAAUACUGACGCUCAUGUGCGAAAAGCGUGGGGAGCAAACAGGG
rnacentral:rRNA from 1 species